AACUAACGCUGGCGGCGUGCCUAACACAUGCAAGUCGUACGAGAAAGCCGGCUUCGGCUGGUGAGUAAAGUGGCGCACGGGUGAGUAACGCGUGGAUAAUCUGCCCUUAAGUGUGGAAUAACGUACCGAAAGGUGCGCCAAUACCGCAUAAUGCCUGGCAACACAAGUUGUCCGGCCAAAGAAGGCCUCUGUUUACAAGCUUUCGCUUCAGGAUGAGUCCGCGUACCAUUAGCUUGUUGGUGGGGUAAUGGCCUACCAAGGCUGCGAUGGUUAGCUGGUCUGAGAGGAUGAUCAGCCACACUGGAACUGAGACACGGUCCAGACUCCUACGGGAGGCAGCAGUGAGGAAUAUUGCGCAAUGGGGCAACCCUGACGCAGCAACGCCGCGUGAGUGAGGAAGGUUUUCGGACUGUAAAGCUCUGUCGAGCGGGAAGAAGUGUACCAUGGCUAAUAUCCAUGAUAUUUGACGGUACCGCUAGAGG
rnacentral:rRNA from 1 species